GACGGAGGGGGCAAGCGUUGUUCGGAAUUAUUGGGCGUAAAGGGCUCGUAGGCGGAUCUGAAAGUCUGAUGUGAAAUCUCCACCGCUCACCGGGGAGGGGCCAUUGGAUACUGCAGAUCUGGAGUUCGGUAGAGGGUCGUGGAAUUUCGGGUGUAGCGGUGGAAUGCGUAGAUAUCCGAAAGAACACCGGUGGCGAAGGCGGCGACCUGGGCCUGAACUGACGCUGAGGAGCGAAAGCUAGGGGAGCAAACGGGAUUAGAUACCCCGGUAGUCCUAGCUGUAAACGGUGGAUACUAGGUGUGGGGGGUAUCGACCCCCCCCGUGCCGCAGUUAACACAUUAAGUAUCCCGCCUGGGAAGUACGGCCGCAAGGUUGAA
rnacentral:rRNA from 1 species